GCCUCUUAUUGCUUCUUGCUACUAGAAGCUACCUUCUUCCUCCUACUAUUUAGACAGCAGCCAGCACACUGGGAGAUGCUAUGUAUAGGACAGCUGUAUCAAAUACACCAAAAGUGAUGGGAAAUCACUUCUGAGAGAAACUGUGAAAAGGCCUCUGACUGAAUCUUGCUCGUCCUCUAUACUCACCCUGAGGAAGCCAGCUGCCGUCUUGCUAAUUGCCCUGAAAGGUCCACAUGGGAAUGAACUGAAGGGAGGCCACCAGCCAGAAGUAAGCAAAGAAUGGAGGCCCUCAAAGUCUACUGGCAGUUGAAUCCUGCCAGCAAGCAUGAUGGAGGGCAGAGGGAGAUGUGAGACACAGAACAGCAAGCAGUAUAGUCACAGAUAGAGACCUGAGCAAUGUUGUCACAAAGCAAGAAGUGCUAGAAGCCACAGGAACCUAGAAAAGGAUUCUCUCCGACAGCCUCUGGAGCAAUGCAACCCUGAUGACACCUGAGCUUGCCCCAGUGAUAAUGAGUUUGACCAUCUGGACUCCAAAACUGGGAGAUAAUAAAUUC
rnacentral:lncRNA from 1 species